AUACGGAGGAUGCAAGCGUUGUCCGGAUUUAUUGGGUUUAAAGGGUGCGUAGGCGGAUGAUUAAGCGUGAGGUGAAAUGCCACUGCUCAACAGUGGAACUGCCUCGCGAACUGGUUGCCUUGAAUGCUCCUGCCGUGGGAGGAAUGUGUGGUGUAGCGGUGAAAUGCAUAGAGAUCACACAGAACACCGAUUGCGAAGGCAUCUCACGAAGGGGUGAUUGACGCUGAGGCACGAAAGCGUGGGGAUCAAACAGGAUUAGAUACCCUGGUAGUCCACGCAGUAAACGAUGAUAACUAACCGCUGGGUCGUAGUGAUUCAGUGGCCAAGCGAAAGCGAUAAGUUAUCCACCUGGGGAGUACGACCGCAAGGUUGAAACUCAAAGGAAUUGACGGG
rnacentral:rRNA from 1 species